rnacentral:rRNA from 1 species
AGAGUUUGAUCCUGGCUCAGAACGAACGCUGGCGGCAGGCCUAACACAUGCAAGUCGAGCGAAGUCUUCGGACUUAGCGGCGGACGGGUGAGUAACGCGUGGGAACAUACCCUUUGGUACGGAAUAGCCUCGGGAAACUGGGAGUAAUACCGUAUGUGCCCUUCGGGGGAAAGAUUUAUCGCCAAAGGAUUGGCCCGCGUUGGAUUAGGUAGUUGGUGGGGUAAUGGCCUACCAAGCCGACGAUCCAUAGCUGGUUUGAGAGGAUGAUCAGCCACACUGGGACUGAGACACGGCCCAGACUCCUACGGGAGGCAGCAGUGGGGAAUCUUAGACAAUGGGCGCAAGCCUGAUCUAGCCAUGCCGCGUGAUCGAUGAAGGCCUUAGGGUUGUAAAGAUCUUUCAGCUGGGAAGAUAAUGACGGUACCAGCAGAAGAAGCCCCGGCUAACUCCGUG